GGAAGAAAUUGCUUCAAACUUGAACCAUGUGAGAGGUAGAUAUAAGCGCAUUUGGGAAAUUAUUGAUACUAGAUGGGAUUUACAACUCCAUAGGCCUUUGCAUGCGGCGACAUAUUACCUUAAUCCAAUGUUUCAUUAUCAAGAAAACUUCAAUGCGGAUACGGAGGUGAAAAUUGGUUUAUUUAAAACCAUUGAGAGGAUGUAUCCGGAUAUAGAGGAUAGAGUGAAGGUUGAUGAGCAAUUAGAAAAGUUCAAGAAGGCCGAGGGUAUGUUUGGUAUGAGCAUGGCCAUCUUGACAAGGGAAAAGAAACAACCCGCUCUAUGGUGGGAAAGUUACGGAGAAUAGUGCAAAGAGCUUCAAAAGCUAGCUAUUAGAGUGCUAAGUCUUACUUGUAGUGCCACCAGGUAUGAGAGAAAUUGGAGCACUUUUGAUCAUGUGCACUCGAAGAAAAGAAACCGGUUGGAGCAACAACGGCUGAAUGCUUUGGUUUUUGUGAAGUAUAACAUUCAACUUGAGUUGAGGCAAAUUAAGAGACAAGAAAGGGGUGAGACUUAUGAUCCUAUUUAUUUAUCGGAUAUGGAAUCCGAUGAUGAAUGGAUUACUGAGAAAGAAGAUCCAUGUCUACCCGAAGAUCAUUCAUGGAUGGACAUCCAAGAGUGUUUC